CUUUCUUGUAGGAAUGAAAUGGGGGACUCAUUAGGUCACACCUCAAAUGACACUACUAGUGAUAUUAAUACUAAAGCCGAUGUAAAAAGUCAAGAUUCUUGGCGGCCAGAUUUCUCUGAGGAUGAGGAGAGUCUCAUUGCUAGAAUGUUUAGAUUGGUUGGAAAGAGGUGGUCACUAAUUGCUGGAAGAAUACCAGGAAGGACAGCAGAAGAGAUAGAGAAGUACUGGACUACAAAAUAUAACUCAAGUGAGAGAUGAAUUUUAAUGACCCAGAACCCUGCAGGCUGCAGGUGGUUGAGAAAGCAGAAAGUUUCACUUUUCUUUGGUGGAUAAAUGCUAAUGGUGUAACAGUUCUUGUUCUUGAAACUUUGUAAUGGAUUUCUGUACUACUUCAAGACUCCCCCCAGUGGAUUGCUUGUAGAUUAAAGACAGUAAAUUUCGGUGUCUUUAUAUCUUAGAGAAAAAGAAAUUUGUACACUGCUAGCUUUCAUUAAUAAUUUUACUAGUCUGAAAUAUUUGUCUUGUAUUGUACUGUUCAUUU
rnacentral:misc_RNA from 1 species